AGCGAACGCUGGCGGCAGGCUUAACACAUGCAAGUCGAGCGGGCAUCCUUGUGGUGUCAGCGGCAGACGGGUGAGUAACGCGUGGGAACGUGCCCUUCGGUUCGGAAUAACUCAGGGAAACUUGAGCUAAUACCGGAUACGUGCGAGAGCAGAAAGGUUUAUCUGCCGAAGGAUCGGCCCGCGUCUGGUUAGCUAGUUGGUGAGGUUAUGGCUCACCAAGGCGACGAUCAGUAGCUGGUCUGAGAGGAUGAUCAGCCACACUGGGACUGAGACACGGCCCAGACUCCUACGGGAGGCAGCAGUGGGGAAUAUUGGACAAUGGGGGCAACCCUGAUCCAGCCAUGCCGCGUGAGUGAUGACGGCCUUAGGGUUGUAAAGCUCUUUUCUCCGGGACGAUAAUGACGGUACCGGAGGAAUAAGCCCCGGCUAACUUCGUG
rnacentral:rRNA from 1 species